GUAAUGACCAAGGCAUAGCUUAGAAUCUCAAUAAGUUCUUGAUGCAUAAAUCCCAUGUUUCGUGUCCCAAAAAAGCCAAUAUUUCUUGGACCUUGUUGUUGAAUAGCUAACAACUCCUGCAGAUAGUCCACAUCCGGAACUGGCUUAUACUCUGACACCAAAACUGAUCCUGAGCCUUCAACAAGAGUCUGAACUUGAGUUGGAAUCUGAGAGCUGAGUUCUUCAUCAGAACCAAACAUCUGAAUUGCAUAAUCAUCUUCUUUCCUCAAAUUAUCAUUGCUGCAAUAUCUUUCAGCAUCUCCAUCUGGC
rnacentral:misc_RNA from 1 species